UGAUCCUACAAGGAAGCAUCCAAAAAUUUGAUAAAUUCCACAUCUGUUGUAUGAUCAUAUAUGUGCAAUAAUUAGGCAAACAUCUAUACACUUAAAAGAAAAGUUUUGAGUUCUCGGACACAAUUCGGUUUUCAGAACCUUCUAUGCACACUAGUUCAACCAUUGGACUCUUUCAUCAGAAGGAAGGGUUCAUCUGGGACCGGACAAUUCAUCUGCAAGAAUGCGGGAAGUGGAGUUGGGAUGGAACGGGUAGGCUAGCCCUCUUGCUGCCCCAAGUGCUAUGUGCUUCCGGGUAGGCCAUCCGAGUGGAGGCUGUGAAUCUCGGCACUCAAUUGCUGAGAUUCACAGGAAAAAAAUAAGUCAUCAACCUCAACCUUGAUAACAAUGGAGCGAAGCCGGGAAUCACACUUCACUUUGCCCAUCAAGUGUUGCUUCACAGCUCAAAACAAAAUUUGUAUAAAGACUACAUUGAAGUUUAGUACCUCUGAGACGCGAAGCUACACUUCCAUUGGCCA